CGUAGUAUCCGUCGACGCUCAGUCGAUAUUCGUCGUUUGUCGCCUAUAGUCGUCAUCGUUCGAGUUGCAAGAGCUGUGUUUGGUGCAGAGCGCAGGGGCCGCCUUUCCGCCUGUCACGCCUAACACUGCCACUGCACGUGAGCAGUCGCUGGAGCGCACCCCCUUUAUCAACCUUCAAGGUCUAGUGCGCGGCGUGCCUGCCGGCGAAUACGGCCUUGUACGGUUGCCCAGCAAUUCGUCUCCGUUUAACUUCGAUCGCUCGUAAAGUGUUGAUCUACAAGAAGAUUGCUAGCCGCCAACCAUGGCUUCGAGGUUCAGAAGAUUCGGUGUAACGGCCGCUGGUAUCGCGAUCGGUGCUGCUCUGUCCACAUACGCUCUUCAAAGCAGAGAUGGCUCGCACUAUCAGGUGCAAAUGGAGGAAAUGCAGCGUAUACGCCGCAAGCGCACUCUUCCGCCACGGUCAGAGCAGAUCCGCGCACUGCAAAGCGGUGAAGAGUAUGAUGUGCUGAUCAUUGGCGGUGGUGCAACGGGUGCAGGUUGUGCGUUGGACUCGGUAACGCGCGGUCUCAAGACGGCCCUGGUCGAGGCAGAUGAUUUUGCCAGCGGUACCUCGUCGCGCUCGACCAAACUGAUCCACGGAGGUGUGCGCUAUCUGCAGAAAGCCAUCCUUGGACUGGAUAUCGAGCAGUACCGGAUGGUGAAGGAAGCUUUGCACGAACGUGCCUCGAUGCUGCGAUCGGCACCACAUCUUACUCGUCCGCUGCCAAUCAUGCUGCCAGUGUACACUUGGUGGCAGAUACCCUAUUUCUGGGUAGGCAUCAAGGCGUACGACUUCGUGGCCGGUGAUCGUAACGUCAAGAGCUCGUACUAUCUGUCUCGUGACGAUGCACUCGAACUGUUCCCGAUGCUGCGUGGUGACAAACUGCGCGGUGCCAUCGUUUACUACGACGGCCAACAGGACGAUGCUCGUAUGUGUCUGGCCAUCGCUUUAACGGCUGCUCGCCACGGUGCCUCCAUUACCAACCACGUCGAGGUACUGGAGCUGCUAAAGAAGAAGGACGAGGCGACCGGCAAGAACGUGGUGUGCGGUGCGAAGGUGCGCGACAACAUUAGCAAGAAGGAAUGGACGAUCAAGGCGAAGUGUGUGAUCAAUGCAACCGGUCCGUUCACCGAUGCCAUUCGCCAGAUGGACAACCCCACGGUGAAGCAAAUUUGUUGCCCAAGUUCGGGAGUGCACAUCGUGCUGCCCGGAUACUACAGCCCGCAGCAGAUGGGUCUCCUGGAUCCGGACACAUCCGAUGGUCGUGUCAUCUUCUUCUUGCCCUGGUUAAACGGUACGAUCGCUGGUACUACCGACUCACCGUGCGACGUGACACGCUCGCCUACUCCGACCGAGGAUGAGAUUCAGUUCAUCCUGAGCGAAAUCAAGAACUACCUUAACAAGGACGUUGACGUACGCCGUGGUGAUGUGCUAUCGGCUUGGAGUGGCAUCCGGCCGCUCGUGUCCGAUCCUAACAAGGACGACACGCAGUCCCUAGCACGUAACCAUAUCGUGCAUGUCAGUGACUCGCAGCUGGUGACGAUAGCCGGUGGCAAGUGGACAACGUAUCGUGCAAUGGCCGAACAUACGCUCGAUGCAGCCAUCAAGGCCUGCAAUCUGAAACCAGAGCGGGGCUGCGUGACCGAUGGACUGUGGAUCGAGGGUGCCCAAGGCUGGACACCGACCAUGUAUAUCCGUUUGGUGCAGGAUCUGGGACUGGAAGUCGAGGUUGCCAAGCAUCUGGCCAUCUCGUACGGGGAUCGUGCGUUCGCUGUCGCCAAGCUGGCCACGCUAACCGGCAAACGCUGGCCCAUCAUCGGCAAAAAACUUCACCCUGAGUUCCCGUACAUUGAUGCCGAGGUCCGGUACGGUAUUCGCGAGUACGCCUGUACCUGUAUUGAUAUGAUUUCGCGCCGUCUGCGGCUGUCCUUCCUGAACGUGCAGGCCGCGAUUGAGGCACUACCACAGAUCGCUGACAUUAUGGCGGAGGAGCUGAAGUGGUCGAAGGAGGAGAAGGAAAAUCAAAUCAAGUCGUGCGAACACUUCCUGCAAACGCAGAUGGGCCACCAGGCUAACCGAUCGCUCAAGGAUAAGGUUCCGAUCAAUCUGUCCAAGGAGGAGGUCAACAUGUACGUCAAACGCUUCGAGACGAUCGACAAGGAGAAGAAGGGCUACGUUUCGAUUACGGACAUUAAGCGAGCGAUGAAAUCGUUCGGUGACACUGAGGUCUCCGGUGAGGAGCUGCACGGCAUCCUGAAGGAAAUUGACACCAACAUGAACGGACAGGUUGAGCUGGAAGAGUACCUUCAGAUGAUGUCCGCCAUCAAGUCCGGAUUCGUGUCCCACUCUCGGUUUGCGGCUGUGGCCGAGCAGGAGGAAAUCCGCAAGGAACAGGAGCGCCUGAAGAAGCAGAUCACCAUCGAACGCUCAGGAGGUGGUCUAUAAAUGACACAUCUUUCAAGGUUUUGCUCGGGAUCGAUUGGCCCAGCACGUGUUGUACCAUCAAUUGCCAUGCCAACUGACUUCCCUCUAGCAUAUGGUGGCAACCAAUCGAUCCACGAACGGCCGAUCCGGAACGAUUUUGAUGACUAAACAAAAUUGUCCCAAUCACUCGAGCUCAAGAUCAGCUCUAGUACUCUCGAAUUUUCCAGUUAUCCGUAAACGCCAACCCAUUGAAAAUUUGGUCGUCUCACGCUGCCAUCGAAGUGGGAAAUGCUUCCAAAUUAUAUGCACAGGGUAAUGAAGGGGGGUAUGAAGAACAUACGCAGGCUACGGAGCAGAAUUCGCCAAGGUUCGGUCCACCGGCUAUACGAAUAAGCUCCAUCUCGGCGAAGGGAAAAUUUUUAUCGGAAAAGCAAAGGCCCGGCAUACCUCACUGUUCUCGAUGUGAGCAGCUAAAUUGGUUGGCCCAACGAAUCAUCGCGAUGAAUUAACUGAGUUUAAGAAAACAUAAUUUUACCAUUCUCGCUGAAACUCCGAAUAAAAUAUGUUAUUUAUGUAAUUUCAUUCGACGGAAACAGGAAACCAGAAAAGGACUGAUUGCACCUUCGUGCGGUCGUCCUUUUGUUGCGCCUUCGAAUGCCUAAAAUUUGAAGAACUUUUUAAGAUUGCUCCUAAGGAAAUGCGUUUUUAUUUCACUGAAAUAAAAUUCAUAAAUAUCACGCA